GAUGAACGCUGGCGGCGUGCCUAAUACAUGCAUGUCGAGCGAACGGACGAGAAGCUUGCUUCUCUGAUGUUAGCGGCGGACGGGUGAGUAACACGUGGAUAACCUACCUAUAAGACUGGGAUAACUUCGGGAAACCGGAGCUAAUACCGGAUGAUAUUUUGAACCGCAUGGUUCAAAAGUGAAAGACGGUCUUGCUGUCACUUAUAGAUGGAUCCGCGCUGCAUUAGCUAGUUGGUAAGGUAACGGCUUACCUAGGCAACGAUGCAUAGCCGACCUGAGAGGGUGAUCGGCCACACUGGAACUGAGACACGGUCCAGACUCCUACGGGGGGCAGCAGUAGGGAAUCUUCCGCAAUGGGCGAAAGCCUGACGGAGCAACGCCGCGUGAGUGAUGAAGGUCUUCGGAUCGUAAAACUCUGUUAUUAGGGAAGAACAUAUGUGUAAGUAACUGUGCACAUCUUGACGGUACCUAAUCAGAAAGCCACGGCUAACUACGUG
rnacentral:rRNA from 1 species